CGGGGAGACCACAUUCUCCCCCAUAAAUUCAUCCAAAGAUCAUUUGAAUGCUGAGCAAAUUCCACAAAACAACUUCUGAACCCUGGCAGAGAACACCAGGCACCCAUGAAAGCAGCCCAUUCUCUUCUAAAGGAACUCAGUCAUCAAACUCAAAC